UUCGGUGAUGAUAAGCCUGGGGAAACACCUGUUCCCAUCCCGAACACAGCAGUUAAGCCCAGGCUGCCGAUGAUACUGCACUGCGGGAAAGUAGGUGAUCGCCGGAG
rnacentral:rRNA from 1 species